rnacentral:misc_RNA from 1 species
GAGGAAGAAGCUCUUCCAAAAGAGAAAAAUAUCAGUAGAAGUGUAGUACCCGGAAACCAAAGAAAGGGCAAAAACAAAAGGGUUGGUUACUUGUGGGCAAAUUUAUUAUGGGUCUUUUGGCUGAGGGAGAGAGAGGUGGUGGAUCACAUGAUUCUUGCUCAUUCACUUAUCCUGUAUCCAAAUUUCUCCCUUUGCUUUUGGGGUUUUCCCAAUAUUUUGAGCUGGGAAUUUUGGUGGGUUCUC